ACCUACGGGACGCAGCAGUAGGGAAUUUUCGUCAAUGGGCGCAGGCCUGAACGAGCAAUGCCGCGUGAACGAGGAAGGUCUUCGGAUCGUAAAGUUCUGUUGAAGGGGAAAAAGAGCGGAGAGAGGAAAUGCUUUCUGAUUGAUAUUACCCUUCGAGGAAGUCACGGCUAACUACGUGCCAGCAGCCGCGGUAAUACGUAGGUGGCGAGCGUUAUCCGGAAUGAUUGGGCGUAAAGGGUGCGUAGGCGGCCUGCUAAGUCUGGAGUGAAAGGUACCGGCUCAACCGGUACAGGCUUUGGAAACUG
rnacentral:rRNA from 1 species